rnacentral:lncRNA from 1 species
AGGUGGCGAUGAUAGUGAUGAUAGUAUUGUAUUGGUAGCAAUGGUGGUAAAAGGUGACCAACGAUAUGGUAGAGACAAUGAUGAUGCUGGUGAUGGUGUUGAAAGCUACAAUGCGGCAAGAGUGGUUGUGGUGGUAAUGGAGAUGACGAGUACCGGAUACGGAGAUAAUAGUGAAGGUGGUAAAAUAUGAAUUUCUUAUUUU